AUUGAACGCUGGCGGCAGGCCUAACACAUGCAAGUCGAACGAGUGGCGGACGGGUGAGUAAUGUCUGGGAAACUGCCCGAUGGAGGGGGAUAACUACUGGAACCGGUAGCUAAUACCGCAUACCAUCGGAUGUGCCCAGAUGGGAUUAGCUAGUCCUUGGGGUAACGGCUCACCUAGGCGACGAUCCCUAGCUGGUCUGAGAGUAUGACCAGCGACACUGGAACUGAGACACGGUCCAGACUCUUACGGGAGGCAGAAGUGGGGAAUAUUGCACAAGUGGCGGAAGCCUGAUGCAGCCAUGCCGCGUGUAUGAAGAAGGCCUUCGGGUUGUAAAGUACUUUCAGCGAGGAGGCGUUACUCGCAGAAGAAGCACCGGCUAACUCCGUGCCAGCAGCCGCGGUAAUAC
rnacentral:rRNA from 1 species